UAAAUUACAAUGCUUAAUUCUUUUUUAAGAAGCGGGGGAACCAAUAUUUUGGGGUGAAUCAUUUUGAAGAACAACCCUUUGUUCUAAUCCAUCAGCUAACCUCGUAGGCCAAAAAGGGGAGUAUA
rnacentral:sRNA from 2 species